GUCAGCCAGCACUCAGCAAAGAAAAAAAAUCUUAAGAAUGCAAUGAACAAAGCCAUAACUCAUAAUAACAAAGCUUCAACAUUUUUUGUGUAAUAUAAUAGGAAGGAAGCACAAAUGAAAUCACCAAAUUGAAGAUUAGGAGGAAAUUACCUUGCCAACCUUGGCGACUUCCAAAGAAGCCCUUUCAAGAAUGAAUAUGACAUUAGGGUUGUCACUCUUGUGGUCACUAGGCAUAAUUGGGAUACCUACAAGUUCAUCCUCCUCAUUUGCUGCAGCUACUUCAGCAUUUUGGAGCAUAGGUCUCUUAGGUUGCACUUGUUCGUCUUCAUCUUCUUCGCGAUCAUAUUUAGCUUCCUUGUCCUUUCUCUUCCGCCCCUUCAUGGAAGGAAGCACAAAUGAAAUCACCAAAUUGAAGAUUAGGAGGAAAUUACCUUGCCAACCUUGGCGACUUCCAAAGAAGCCCUUUCAAGAAUGAAUAUGACAUUAGGGUUGUCACUCUUGUGGUCACUAGGCAUAAUUGGGAUACCUACAAGUUCAUCCUCCUCAUUUGCUGCAGCUACUUCAGCAUUUUGGAGCAUAGGUCUCUUAGGUUGCACUUGUUCGUCUUCAUCUUCUUCGCGAUCAUAUUUAGCUUCCUUGUCCUUUCUCUUCCGCCCCUUCAUACCAAAAGGUCGUGUCAUGGCUUCCCUCAACCACAACUGAACACAAUAGUUGUCUUGUCUUAGGGUUCAGUUGUGC
rnacentral:lncRNA from 1 species